GACGAACGCUGGCGGCGUGCUUAACACAUGCAAGUCGAACGGAAAGGCCCUGCUUUUGUGGGGUGCUCGAGUGGCGAACGGGUGAGUAACACGUGAGUAACCUGCCCUUGACUUUGGGAUAACUUCAGGAAACUGGGGCUAAUACCGGAUAGGAGCUCCUGCUGCAUGGUGGGAGUUGGAAAGUUUCGGCGGUUGGGGAUGGACUCGCGGCUUAUCAGCUUGUUGGUGGGGUAGUGGCUUACCAAGGCUUUGACGGGUAGCCGGCCUGAGAGGGUGACCGGCCACAUUGGGACUGAGAUACGGCCCAGACUCCUACGGGAGGCAGCAGUGGGGAAUAUUGCACAAUGGGCGGAAGCCUGAUGCAGCAACGCCGCGUGCGGGAUGACGGCCUUCGGGUUGUAAACCGCUUUCGCCUGUGACGAAGCGUGAGUGACGAUAAUGGGUAAAGAAGCACCGGCUAACUACGUG
rnacentral:rRNA from 1 species